rnacentral:rRNA from 1 species
AGAGUUUGAUCAUGGCUCAGAUUGAACGCUGGCGGCAGGCCUAACACAUGCAAGUCGAGCGGAAACGAGUUAUCUGAACCUUCGGGGAACGAUAACGGCGUCGAGCGGCGGACGGGUGAGUAAUGCCUAGGAAAUUGCCCUGAUGUGGGGGAUAACCAUUGGAAACGAUGGCUAAUACCGCAUGAUGCCUACGGGCCAAAGAGGGGGACCUUCGGGCCUCUCGCGUCAGGAUAUGCCUAGGUGGGAUUAGCUAGUUGGUGAGGUAAGGGCUCACCAAGGCGACGAUCCCUAGCUGGUCUGAGAGGAUGAUCAGCCACACUGGAACUGAGACACGGUCCAGACUCCUACGGGAGGCAGCAGUGGGGAAUAUUGCACAAUGGGCGCAAGCCUGAUGCAGCCAUGCCGCGUGUGUGAAGAAGGCCUUCGGGUUGUAAAGCACUUUCAGUCGUGAGGAAGGUAGUGUAGUUAAUAGCUGCAUUAUUUGACGUUAGCGACAGAAGAAGCACCGGCUAACUCCGUGCCAGCAGCCGCGGUAAUACGGAGGGUGCGAGCGUUAAUCGGAAUUACUGGGCGUAAAGCGCAUGCAGGUGGUUUGUUAAGUCAGAUGUGAAAGCCCGGGGCUCAACCUCGGAAUAGCAUUUGAAACUGGCAGACUAGAGUACUGUAGAGGGGGGUAGAAUUUCAGGUGUAGCGGUGAAAUGCGUAGAGAUCUGAAGGAAUACCGGUGGCGAAGGCGGCCCCCUGGACAGAUACUGACACUCAGAUGCGAAAGCGUGGGGGAGCAAACAGGAUUAGAUACCCUGGUAGUCCACGCCGUAAACGAUGUCUACUUGGAGGUUGUGGGCCUUGAGCCGUGGCUUUCGGAGCUAACGCGUUAAGUAGACCGCCUGGGGGAGUACGGUCGCAAGAUUAAAACUCAAAUGAAUUGACGGGGGCCCGCACAAGCGGUGGAGCAUGUGAUUUAAUUCGAUGCAACGCGA